rnacentral:lncRNA from 1 species
UUUUUUUUUUUUCCUUCUUAGUCGUGUGUACAUCAUUGGGAAUGGAGGGAAAUAAAUGACUGGAUGGUCGCUGCUUUUUAAGUUUCAAAUUGACAUUCCAGACAAGCGGUGCCUGAGCCCGUGCCUGUCUUCAGAUCUUCACAGCACAGUUCCUGGGAAGGUGGAGCCACCAGCCUCUCCCUGACAAGCAAAGUGGAUCAGCAAAGGCUGCAGUCACCAGCAUCUUUUCCAACCUUAAUGAACUGUAUCCUCAAAAGAACACUAUCAGACUGGCUCUGCCGACUUCCAGUUCUGGAACAAGAUGGUUAAACUCAUUUUUCCCUGCUCUGCUCCUCUAAAUACAACUAAGUACCUUGGAAACUAUUCAGCAGACAAUGAUAAAGGGCUCUGAAAGCUAGAAGAAAAGGUGUACUUGCAAGAAACCUCAGGACUUGAGUAACAGCAACAUGGCAGGCCAGAAAGCAGACCCAGGGAGGAUAGCACAUGUCUUCGGCUACACUGGUGAAGGCAUCGUGCCUGCUCCACAGCACAUUUUUAUUCAAGCUCACCAAGCUCCUGUAUCUACUGGAAAAUGGAAGUCCAGCCUUACCAACUUGUGAACCUUGUCUGAAGGGAGCCAGGGCCUGCCAAUGGAACCACCUCCAGGAGCUGCAACUGCUGUUGUCAUUAAUACCAUUGUGUCUAUUUUUUGAGAGAGAUAAACUUUUCAUGGUGUUACAUUUUGGAAAAAAAAAAAAAAGACUAGGUGAACAGUCAGGUAGGAAAGCAGCAUAACAGUCCCUUAAAUUCUGAUCAUGUAGGACAUUCUUCUUUGCCCUGGGCCUGGGAAAAUGCAGCAUGUUCCAGAGCAAAAGUCCUAAUGAGGGGAACUAAACCAGUGGGACCCAAACCAAUGUCCUGGCUCACUGAGGACCCGUUAGAACCAAAUCUCUGGGUGUGGACAGGCUCCCAUACUUUUCAAAAAUUCCCCUGAUGACUAAUGAACAACCAGAGGUAAGAACCAGUGGCCCAGAGGAAUAACCAGCCCAGCUGUUGUACGAGCUCGCUAAGCUGGCUCAGGUCAAUGUUGAAUUCUCUGCUAGGCAGCUCCUCAUAAGAACUGGCAGAGAUGGUUCUUACACAACAACAGGUGACAACUCCAGACUCUGCCGGAAGUUCCAGGAUCUGGGUUCCCGGACAAUGCAUGACACUCAGUCCAGCAUUGCAGGUGGAAGAGCGACGGUGAAAAGACCAAAGUCAAUUAAAAUGUGUUAACCAAAACAGGAAACAUGAGUGAGGUGAUUGAGAGUGUGUUUAACUUAGAUGUGUGAUUUUAUCAAUACUUUCAUUGUUCAAAAACUCUUAUUUUUUAAAGAUAUUUUCAAAACAAAUCCAAACUUUACUUUUCAUUCCAAAUUCGUGUUCCGUCUAUACUUGCAUUUGGGGAAAGAUUGAAACAAAACACAAAUACUUUGUAGCAAUGUUGGAGUGUCAUGUUCUUUGCAGAGGGACAGGAAAAAAAAAGGAUUUUUUUUUCUUAUCAAGAGAUACUGUUUCCUCAAGGAGAAAGGGCAUCAGUCCAAGGCACUGGUUUGCUCAAAAAGAUUAGUAAAGAACAAGCAUAUUUUGUCUGUGGUGACAACAUGAUCUCCCCCCCCCCACUAGUAAACUCACAGCAUCAGUACGCAGGCAGUGUGAUGCAUUUUCAAAGUUCCUCACUUUUCCAGAUCCAACAGGACUCUUGUGCACAUACUCGGUGUUUCCAUGGCAAAUCCACUGUGUAUGAAAAUUAGACCCUUCCAAAAAACAAAUUUACUAGUCAGUAACCAUCAUCAGCACUUUUUUUCUGUACCAUGAAAUUUGGGAACAAAAUUAAAGGGCUCUUGAUUGAAA